AAGGAAUCCCAAGCAGUCCUUUAUGAGGUGAGUGUGUGUGUGCAAGGAUGCAGAACCCAUCAAGUGCCUCCUUCAUUCCUGAUUUACAGAUUUCUCUUACACGGGCACGUGCAGGACAUUGACUGGCAAAGGGGAUGCAGAACCCAUCAAGUGCCUCCUUCAUUCCUGAUUUACAGAUUUCUCUUACACGGGCACGUGCAGGACAUUGACUGGCAAAGGGGAUGCAGUACCCCCGUCCCCUUGAGGAAGGACAAAAUGCAGGUGACAAAUGUUGGAAGCAUUUCUCUCACACUGGCCUCCUCCCUUCUGUUCUUCCACUGUGGUUCUGUGGAUAGAAUAAAACCACGUUACUUUUCAGAUACACUGCACCAAGCUCCAGGCCAUACAACCCCAAACCACGUGAGGUGGGGGUCUACGAAAACUGGCUUUCUAACAGGCCACUGCGAUCUUUGCAACCUUUUAACUCUGAUUUUCGCUGCACAAUGCAUACAUUAAAACAACACUGAUGAAUUCUCUAAGAUACACACAAACUAAAUCUUUACAAAUGGAAUAAUACCAAACAAGAGAGUGUGGUGUGCUGUAGAUAAAGGUGACUUAUUCCAUUCUUUUUUUGUCUGAAUGGUCAGACUACUCCAGCGAUCAGCACCCACACGACAGUUUGAUUUACUGAGCUCAGGAAUUCUCAAGUUUUUUCACUUCUCUACCAGAAUUUCAUACAAUUUGUGAUUCUCAUUUAAAAGUCACGGGCUAGCAGACUAUCGAACAGGUGACCGUUAACAACACUCCAGCAGCAAUGUCCCCCUUUCAGGCCUGCAGCAUAGCCCAUAUCAUCCCUCACUGCCUGCUUUAUUUCUGAUUCAAUUGCCACGAUCUAAAAGGUCAAGAUCUACAGCACGAUCAGUCGAUCUCCAAAGACGGUUUGCUAAGGGGAUUUCUCGCUCAGAAACCAAUCUGUCCCACUCCGGUAUCGAAGCACAGCGAUGUUUGGAGCUGGAGGCCACACAGCUGCUGCUAUCUCUGCUUUACCCACGGCCGCAUCCUUCAGAGCCGUUCCAGGAGCACCCAGGCAGGAACCACGGGCAGUGCCGCUGCCGC
rnacentral:lncRNA from 1 species